rnacentral:rRNA from 1 species
UGAGCAAUCUGCCCUUCUCUUUGGAAUAAGCGUUGGAAACGACGUCUAAUGCCGAAUACGACCUCCUUUCGCAUGAUCGGAGGUGGAAAGCUCCGGCGGAGAAGGAUGAGCUCGCGGCCUAUCAGCUAGUUGGUGUGGGUAAUGGCCCACCAAGGCGACGACGGGUAGCCGGUCUGAGAGGGUGACCGGCCACACUGGGACUGAGACACGGCCCAGACCUCCGUACGGGAGGNAG